CCUACGGGCGGCAGCAGUAGGGAAUCUUUCACAAUGGGCGAAAGCCUGAUGGAGCAACGCCGCGUGCAGGAUGAAGGCCUUCGGGUUGUAAACUGCUUUUAUAAGCGAGAAAUAUGAUGGUACCUUAUGAAUAAGGAACGGCUUACAACGUUCCAGCAGACGCGGUCAUACGUAGGAUACGCGCAUGAUCCGGAGUGACAGUGUGUGAAAAGUUGCGUAGGUGGGAUAAUAAGUAGCUAGUGGAAUCUGGUGGCUCAAACAUUCAAAGUAUUAGCUAAACUGUUAAGCUUGAGACCGUUCGAGGUAAGCGGAAUUUGUGGUGUAGGGGGGAAAUGCGUAGAUAUUAGGAAGAACGCCGAUAGCGAAGGCAGGUUACUGAGACGGUUCUGACACUGAGGCACGAAAGCGUAGGUAGCAAACAGGAUUAGAUACCCCAGUAGUC
rnacentral:rRNA from 1 species